rnacentral:tRNA from 2 species
GCCGCAGUCGCAUAACCUGGUAUUGCACCGGUCUCGAAAACCGGGUCCUUCUGGACAUGUCGGUUCAAAUCCGGCCUGCGGCG